GAGUACUGAUAGAAGUAAGUGGAGCGGGUGGAUCGACCUCUAAAGCCCAAUCCAGAUCCAUAACUCCAAGAACAAGCCGAAUACUAUUUUUCAUGACUUGAAGUUUGUGUUUUUCAAUAUUGGGAUGGAAUUAACAUUCGCGGUGAUACUUCCAGCAGAAAGGGAAGUUGAAUAAAGAACAUAUAACAUUCAGUCAAUCAAUACUCACAUUAAACCUUAAACCAUAAACAAUAAUAAUGAAUUU
rnacentral:lncRNA from 1 species